rnacentral:rRNA from 1 species
UUUUAUGAGAGUUUGAUCCUGGCUCAGGACGAACGCUGGCGGCGUGCCUAAUACAUGCAAGUCGAACGCUUCUUUUUCCACCGGAGCUUGCUCCACCGGAAAAAGAGGAGUGGCGAACGGGUGAGUAACACGUGGGUAACCUGCCCAUCAGAAGGGGAUAACACUUGGAAACAGGUGCUAAUACCGUAUAACAAUCAAAACCGCAUGGUUUUGAUUUGAAAGGCGCUUUCGGGUGUCGCUGAUGGAUGGACCCGCGGUGCAUUAGCUAGUUGGUGAGGUAACGGCUCACCAAGGCCACGAUGCAUAGCCGACCUGAGAGGGUGAUCGGCCACAUUGGGACUGAGACACGGCCCAAACUCCUACGGGAGGCAGCAGUAGGGAAUCUUCGGCAAUGGACGAAAGUCUGACCGAGCAACGCCGCGUGAGUGAAGAAGAGUUUCGGAUCGUAAAACUCUGUUGUUAGAGAAGAACAAGGAUGAGAGUAACUGUUCAUCCCUUGACGGUAUCUAACCAGAAAGCCACGGCUAACUCCGUGCCAGCAGCCGCGGUAAUACGUAGGUGGCCAGCGGUGUCCGGAUUUAUUGGGCGUAAAGCGAGCGCAAGCGGUU